UGGUAGUGUAUUGGACUACCAUGGCUUUCACGGGUAACGGGGGAUUAGGGUUCGAUUCCGGAGAGGGAGCCUGAGAAACGGCUACCACAUCUAAGGAAGGCAGCAGGCGCGUAAAUUACCCAAUCCUGACUCAGGGAGGUAGUGACAAGAAAUAACGGACCGAAGCUUUUGUUUCGGGAUUGCAAUGAGUAGAAUUUAAACCCCUUUACGAGGAUCAAUUGGAGGGCAAGUCUGGUGCCAGCAGCCGCGGUAAUUCCAGCUCCAAUAGCGUAUAUUAAAGUUGUUGCAGUUAAAAAGCUCGUAGUUGGACUUCUGGGAGGGUGCCAAUGUCCGCUCGUUAGCGUGUGCAGCGGCGCCCUUCCAUCCUUCUGUUAACGUUUCUUGGUAUUCAGUUACUGGUUUCGGGCUCAGAUAUUUUACCUUGAGAAAAUUAGAGUGUUUCAGGCAGGCUUGCGCCGGAAUACAUUAGCAUGGAAUAAUAGAAUAGGACUUUAGUCUCCUUUGUUGGUUUGAGGGACUGAAGUAAUGAUUAAUAGGGAUAGUUGGGGGCAUUAGUAUUUAAUUGUCAGAGGUGAAAUUCUCGGAUUUGUUAAAGACUAACUUAUGCGAAAGCAUUUGCCAAGGA
rnacentral:rRNA from 1 species